rnacentral:ncRNA from 1 species
ACCUCUUCCGAGGGGUGUGCUGCGGCACUGAGACGGCAUUGCGCCGAACCCUUAUAUACCUGAUCCGGGUCAUGCCGGCGUAGGAACGGAAACUGUCGCACCC